UACCUUGGAAAGAUGGAGAGAAGACUGCA
rnacentral:piRNA from 1 species